GAUGAGCGCUGGCGGCGUGCCUAACACAUGCAAGUCGAGCGAACAGACGAGGAGCUUGCUCCUCUGACGUUAGCGGCGGACGGGUGAGUAACACGUGGAUAACCUACCUAUAAGACUGGGAUCACUUCGGGAAACCGGAGCUAAUACCGGAUAAUAUAUUGAACCGCAUGGUUCAAUAGUGAAAGACGGUUUUGCUGUCACUUAUAGAUGGAUCCGGGCCGCAUUAGCUAGUUGGUACGGUAACGGCUUUCCAAGGCGACGAUGCGUUACCGACCUGAGAGGGUGGUUGGUCGCACUGGAACGUGAACGACGUCCCAGGUCCUGAGGGAAGGCACAGGUGGGAAUUCUAGGCAAAGGGGGGAAAGCUUGUCGAAGCAACGCGAGUUGGUUGAGGAAGUUCUGCGAAUGGAAAGACCGUUUUCUUGGGGAAAAACAAAUUUGUAUGUAACGAUGCGGGUUUGAAGGUAACCAAAAAAGAAGCACCGGCUAACUUCGUG
rnacentral:rRNA from 1 species